CAUCAGAAAAAUAUGUGGAGCUGAUCUCAACAAGAAGUGAAGAACCCAGAGCAAGAAAGCGGUUUUAACUCCUGAGCCCAGGGAGUUGGCAGCGUUUGGGUUUCAGAGGAGCCAGCAUCUCCGAGUUGUCGAUGUGAGAUUCUGCUAAAUUUCUGUUCUUCUGGCUGUAAGAUCUGAAUGCUGUGACCACUAAUUUGUUGAACCAAGACUCUGAGGCUGAUAUGCAAUGUCACUUACAACAUUAAUCAGAUACUGCAUUUAAGUGCUGGUAUCAGUGGUUUGAUUUUCAGCAAAUGUGACAGUGGCCUUUGCAGUGGUCAGCUCCGGGCUUUGAACUCUCAGAGGAGGAAGGGGAAAAGAAUUCAGCACACCACCUCCUUGGUUGCAGCCUCAGAGAAACCUUGGAAGAGAAACUUCUUUUUUCAAUCCUAUUUUCCUGUUGAUAAAUUCAGUUCUCGUGAUCACAGUACAUUCAAGCUGUUCUGCGUAUGAUUUUUUUGUGUGUGUGACAAUUGCAUCUAAAACUUGUGAGCAAGAAGACAGAGAAAUCAGUUGGUCUCCAUCGCUUUACAUAAAAAUGGCUGAGUGUCUUGUCAUGCUAGCACUGCAUUAAGUGAUACACACAGGUAGGUCGAAAUUUGCAUGUUUUAUAGAUUUUUUUAAGCCAUGCAGCAAGAAUAUUAGAGGGAUUAAAAUAUGACUUUCAUAAUGAAAAUUAAAUAAGACAGCUGUAAUUUUUUGGAGGGAGGGUAUUAAAUUGGAUAGGCUUUCCUAUUCAGAUACUAUAUCAAUGUACAGCUUUGCUAAACUUACAAAAUGAUUCUGCUGUAAAAGUGAGCUGAUUCCUUUUAAAAAAAUUAUAUAUAUAUGAUAGGUGUGGCGCCAUUAGACAACAAAAGAAUUUUUUGAAAAGUCUGUUGAUUCAGCUCCAUUUUAGCUUGAAACUAAAAAUAAAUGGUUUUCUUGAGAUAAUUUUAAAGAGCGCAAACAAGCUUAAUAAGAAACAUUUAAAAUAUUUAAAUUUUAAGAAGCGGUCUUUAAACGUGUUAUAUGAAAGAUGAAAAUAAAAACUUACAUGCUUCCAAAAUCCAUUUUAGAUAAUAUACAGGAACAAAUAUACUAUUGGUUUAUCUAUUAUUUGGAGAGAUGAGGAGUUACAAUUUUUAAAGGGGGGUGGUGGAUAUUAAAUAUAGAUGGCCCUGUUAGAAGAAAGAGAGCUUCACUGAAAGAAAAAGAGUCCCUAGAAUGGUUCAUUGCAGACCAUACAGCUAUGGUUCUGUAAGUACCAAAUUCUGCCACUUUUCAAAAUAAUUUCAUGGGCUCUUUCCUUUGAGCUUAACUUCCGAAAUAUAUUUUAGUUUCAACUUAACACUGGGCCAGAACCUGUUUCCUUGGUAAC
rnacentral:lncRNA from 1 species